UUUUGUUUGCAGGCUUCUGAAAAAUUGAAGUCAGCUCCCCUGAAAUUCAUUAGUGGUAUCUGAGCAGAGACUACUUACAGGUGUGAUAAUCAUCUAUCUACGCCUCGGUAUGCUGCAUGAAACAGAUUGCACCGCUCAUAACGAGUGAAAUAUUUGACAAGUUUGACCUCAAAUCAGGUAGGACUACCCGCUGAACUUAA
rnacentral:misc_RNA from 1 species